ACUCCUACGGGAGGCAGCAGUGGGGAAUUUUGGACAAUGGGCGAAAGCCUGAUCCAGCAAUGCCGCGUGUGUGAAGAAGGCCUUCGGGUUGUAAAGCACUUUUGUCCGGAAAGAAAACUCCGUUCCUAAUAUGGAUGGAGGAUGACGGUACCGGAAGAAUAAGCACCGGCUAACUACGUGCCAGCAGCCGCGGUAAUACGUAGGGUGCGAGCGUUAAUCGGAAUUACUGGGCGUAAAGCGUGCGCAGGCGGUGAUGUAAGACCGAUGUGAAAUCCCCGGGCUUAACCUGGGAACUGCAUUGGUGACUGCAUUGCUGGAGUAUGGCAGAGGGGGGUGGAAUUCCACGUGUAGCAGUGAAAUGCGUAGAGAUGUGGAGGAACACCGAUGGCGAAGGCAGCCCCCUGGGCCAAUACUGACGCUCAUGCACGAAAGCGUGGGGAGCAAACAGGAUUAGAUACCCUGGUAGUCCACGCCCUAAACGAUGUCAACUGGUUGUCGGGCCUUCAUUGGCUUGGUAACGUAGCUAACGCGUGAAGUUGACCGCCUGGGGAGUACGGUCGCAAGAUUAAAACUUAAAGGAAUUGACG
rnacentral:rRNA from 1 species